rnacentral:rRNA from 1 species
UUCCAGACUCCUACGGGAGGCAGCAGUGGGGAAUAUUGCACAAUGGGGGAAACCCUGAUGCAGCGACGCCGCGUGAGUGAAGAAGUAUUUCGGUAUGUAAAGCUCUCUCAGCAGGGAAGAAGAUGACGGUACCUGACUAAGAAGCCCCGGCUAACUACGUGCCAGCAGCCGCGGUAAUACGUAGGGGGCAAGCGUUAUCCGGAUUUACUGGGUGUAAAGGGAGCGUAGACGGCAGUGCAAGUCUGGAGUGAAAGGCGGGGGCUCAACCCCCGGACUGCUCUGGAAACUGUACGGCUGGAGUGCAGGAGAGGUAAGUGGAAUUCCUAGUGUAGCGGUGAAAUGCGUAGAUAUUAGGAGGAACACCAGUGGCGAAGGCGGCUUACUGGACUGUAACUGACGUUGAGGCUCGAAAGCGUGGGGAGCAAACAGGAUUAGAUACCCCUGUA